UUGUUAGUCCCUACCUUCCUCUUGGCCAAAAGUGAAAUGAAUGACCUAAAAUAACAUUAGUUUAAUCUGACUGUGCAGACUAACAUCAUGGGCAUAGAAAUCUCAAGUUCUUGAUUUAUGAUCCUAAUACUGACUCUGAUUUCUAAGACUUCAAACAGACUGCUAACCAAACAAUGAAUCUAUUAAGUAACCACCUACUUGGGUUCACAAGUAAAUCAAAAAGCUUUGGUAGAUUCAAGAAGGAAACAUUUGUCCAGGGAGGAGAAAUCACUUCUACAAAUAUUGAGAAAAGGUGAUUCCUUCAUUAGAAAAAUCUUCAUUAAAACAGAUCGUAUUCAAGAAAUUCAUGAGGGAGAACAAACAACAGGGGGAAAAAAGCAAUGCUGUCUAGAUGAAGAAUGUCAAAGAUUCUGUUUGCCUCUUCAAGGAUUUAGGGAAGUUUUAAAAGAUUGACUCUUUUUUCAACUUCCCCUUCUCAUGACUGUACAGUAACAAACACUAUUAAUCAUUUCUCAUUUCUUUUUAUAUAAACUGAUUCCUACAUCCUGACUUUGCUCCAUAUAAGCUUUUUAAU